GCUGUAAGCCUUACAGCUGCAGUCCAGGGUGCUUGAUAUUUACUGUAUUUCCGAGCCGCUACGCACCCGAUGUUAUUGAUCUAGGUGCCACCGCCCACAGGUUCCCAGUGAGGAGGUUAUAGAGUCGGGGCUCCUUUCCACAGAAUGUUAGCACACCUGAAAUACGAUCCUGUGUCCUGUUUCCCGCCUUGAAGAAACCGAGGGCCCCCAAUUGAAAUUGCCUUGUUACUUGCAUGCAGGGCUGCUGAAACGCUACAUCUCUGGAUUCUGUUGGGGGCUUUUAAAAAUGAAGUCAGCGGGGCUGAUACGUUAAAAAUUCCAACAGAGUAGGUGGGGAGGAAGGUGAGGCCCAGGAGAUCACGGCUUGCCCAGAAUUGGAGCAGGAUGGAAGCGGAUCAUUUGACUGGAAAGAACCUGAAAUCUGGCCACUGUUUCCCUCCCUAAGGGUCUGGGGGCCCAAGUUAAGAUGCUGUGCUCCCUGGAAGGCCUCGCUUAAGGGGAGUUGGAAAGAAGUAGAAGACCAGAUUCCUGCUCUCAAGGCACUUACAGGCGGAGCUGGGCCAGUGAUAUCAGCGAGCUGAUUCUUCCCACACCUCCAAGGGCGUCAAGUGGAGUUCACCAUGGUGCGGGCCAAGGGGCUGUGAGCUUCUAUACACCGUCCCCUGCCCCCUGAACCAGACUCCUUUGCCUCACAGGCUCCAGAGGGGGAAGCCAGGCAGAUGAGGCCGCUGGUGCAUCCAGGCAUUAAUUAACCCCCCAUCUCUUUCUGGGCCAAUGGCGCAGCAAGGGACCUCACGUCCCCCCUCGUUAAGCCCUGUGAACCCAUCUUUG